GCAGUGAGUCUUAUCUGCCAUCGGAACAGGGUCUGCUGCUAUCGUGCCGCAUUUUCUCUGCCCCCUAUCUCCAGGCACCAUGAUCACUGGCUGUCUAUCUGAGCGGGAAGAUGAAACUUCCAUCACCGGCGACAAUGGAGAAGGACGAGUGGGAACCCCGUAGGAGCUGGGAGGGAGCAAAAACGAGGGCCGGCUGUGGAUCCUUGAGGACCGGGCUGAGAAACACUGCUAUACUGAGGGCGUACUUAAGAUGUCUUAGAUAAUAAUGUUGUAAAAGAUUUCAUCUUGAAGUGCCUUCAGAUACGGACACUUGCAAGCAGAGGCUUGGGGAUUAUGGGUAAUGCAGUCCUGAAGAGCUGUACGGUAUCUUUCACUUUAUGGGUCUUGACGGGGCCCUAUUUUUUGCUCGGUGGAGUUCUGCCGCACUGAAGGCCGGACAGAUGAACGCAGAGACAGGUUCUCCACACGCAUUACAGGUACCACAAACGUUACCUCAGUUCAUGGUGGCUCAGAAAAAACGCAAACUUUCAAGUGGGAUCCGACGAGUGCAAUUAGUUACGCUCGCGUUAAAGACUGGCAUCAAUUCUCACCCACUGGUUUACAACGUACGGCCAGAACACGACAAAACUCAGGUUUGAUUUUUGGGAAUGAUUUUGACUGGCCCUGAGGCAACACAUGACCCUUGCCUAAAUGGUUGUCCAGGUCCUUUUGCGAUGUUCAC